UUGUAUUAGUGAAUUGGAUUUUUGUAAUAAAAUAACAGUUAGUACUCUUGACUGUUUUGUGAAAUUGAAGAGACAUCUGUAGUUGAAAUUUUAGAAAUAUCUAGAUAGUUGAGUAUGCCAAGUGCAUACAAAAAUUUGUGUUAAUCUAAUGGUACGGAUAGAGGAUAUUUGAUCAUUAGUGUAAAGAGGUAUCAAAAGUUGGCAUAUUGGGAUUGUUUAGGAUUUUUUUAAUAUCUGAAGAUCUAUUAGCUGGAAUAAGGUGAAUUUUGACGCGGUGAGUUGAGGACUUAAAGGCAAAGCUGUACACAAAGUUUGAAUG
rnacentral:lncRNA from 1 species